GAUGAACGCUGGCGGCGUGCUUAACACAUGCAAGUCGAACGAAGCACUUUAUUUGAUUUCCUUCGGGACUGAUUAUUUUGUGACUGAGUGGCGGACGGGUGAGUAACGUGUGGGUAACCUGCCUUGUACAGGGGGAUAACAGUUGGAAACGGCUGCUAAUACCGCAUAAGCGCCCAGCAUCGCAUGAUGCAGUGUGAAAAACUCCGGUGGUAUAAGAUGGACCCGCGUUGGAUUAGCUAGUUGGUGAGGUAACGGCCCACCAAGGCGACGAUCCAUAGCCGACCUGAGAGGGUGACCGGCCACAUUGGGACUGAGACACGGCCCAAACUCCUACGGGAGGCAGCAGUGGGGAAUAUUGCACAAUGGGCGAAAGCCUGAUGCAGCGACGCCGCGUGAGCGAAGAAGUAUUUCGGUAUGAAAAGCUCUAUCAGCAGGGAAGAUAAUGACGGUACCUGACUAAGAAGCACCGGCUAAAUACGUG
rnacentral:rRNA from 1 species